AGCCGCGGUUACACGUAGGGGCCCAAGUUGACGGAAAUACGGCGUAAAGUGUGGCUAACAGAAUUUCGAAACUAAAGCCGAACCCUGCUGCGGCUGUCAUAAGCAUCCAGAAAAGGGAAGCUCACACACGAAAGUGGCUUUAACUACUGCCACCCACGAAAGCCAAGGAA
rnacentral:rRNA from 1 species